CGGAGGCUACCGCUAUUGGAGUUCGAUUAAGCCAUGCGAGUCGCGAGAAAUUAGAUUCUCGGCGUACCGCUCAGUAACACGUGGGUAACCUGCCCUAUGCUGGAUAAUAACCUCGGGAAACUGAGUAUAAUGAUCCAUAGUUCACUACGCCUGGAACGGUGAGUGGAUGAAAGCUCCGGCGGCAUAGGAUGGGCCUGCGGCGUAUCAGGUAGUAGGGGGUGUAACGUACCCUCUAGCCCUCUACGCGUACGGGUGUUGGGAGACAUAGCCCGGAGAUGGAUUCUGAGACACGAAUCCAGACCCUACGGGGUGCAGCAGGCGCGAAAACUUGGCAAUGCGAGAAAUCGUGACCAGGGAACUCCAAGUGCAUCGGGUAAGACCGGUGCUUUUCUUGACUCUAAAUAGGUCUUGGAAUAAGGGGUGGGUAAGGACGGUGCCAGCCGCCGCGGUAAUACCGGCGCCUCAAGUGGUAGUCGCUUUUAUUGGGCCUAAAACGUCCGUAGCCGGUCUGAUACAUUCGUGGGUAAAUCAACCAGCUCAACUGGUUGAAUUCUGCGAGGACGGUCAGACUUGGGACCGGGAGAGGUGUGGGGUACGCUCAGGGUAGGGGUAAAAUCCUGUCAUCCUGAGCGGACCACCUGUUGCGAAGGCGCCACACUAGAACGGAUCCGACGGUCAGGGACGAAGCCUAGGGGCACGAACCGGAUUAGAUACCCGGGUAGUCCUAGGUGUAAACGCUGUGGACUUGAUGUUGGGGGUGCUCCGAGCACUCUCAGUGUCGAAGCGAAGGUGAUAAGUCCACUGCCUGGGAAGUACGGUCGCAAGGCUGAAACUUAAAGGAAUUGGCGGGG
rnacentral:rRNA from 1 species